CGGGAACGCUGAGACAGGUGCUGCAUGGCUGUCGUCAGCUCGUGUUGUGAAAUGUUGGGUUAAGUCCCGCAACGAGCGCAACCCUUAUCCUCUGUUGCCAGCGAUUCGGUCGGGAACUCAGGGGAGACUGCCGGUGAUAAACCGGAGGAAGGUGGGGAUGACGUCAAGUCAUCAUGGCCCUUACGAGCAGGGCUACACACGUGCUACAAUGGCGCAUACAAAGAGAAGCGACCUCGCGAGAGCAAGCGGACCUCAUAAAGUGCGUCGUAGUCCGGAUCGGAGUCUGCAACUCGACUCCGUGAAGUCGGAAUCGCUAGUAAUCGUGGAUCAGAAUGCCACGGUGAAUACGUUCCCGGGUCUUGUACACA
rnacentral:rRNA from 1 species